ACUUAGGUAGUUUAAUUAAAAAUUUUGAUUUGUGGUGUCAAAGAUAUAUUUUGUAUUCUAAGUC
rnacentral:tRNA from 1 species